rnacentral:sRNA from 1 species
AAUGAAAUUAUAAUCCGGCGAGGGGAAAGGCGGAGAGUUGUAGCUGGCCUCUAGGGGCAUGUGCACGCUCUCUUCCGGACCUUUCGCCGUAUGGGCGCGGGGCGACCCGCGUCUUCAUAUACCUCUUCGUGUAGAAAGUCUUUGAAUGUUUUACCAUCAUCGAGUCGCGACUUCUAGGAGACGCGAUUCUUUGAGAAAAAAGUUAUUACAACUUUCAGCAACGGAUCUCUUGGCUCUCGCAUCGAUGAAGAACGCAGCGAAUCGCGAUAUGUAAUGUGAAUUGCAGAUCUACAGUGAAUCAUCGAAUCUUUGAACGCACCUUGCGCUCCUCGGUGUUCCGAGGAGCAUGCCUGUUUGAGUGUCAGUAAAUUCUCAACCCCUCUCGAUUUGCUUCGAGCGGGUGCUUGGAUGUUGGGGGCUGCCGGAGACACUGGAUUCGUCCAGGACUCGGGCUCCUCUUAAAUGAAUCGGCUCGCGGUCGACUUUCGACUUUGCAUGACAAGGCCUUUGGCGUGAUAAUGAUCGCCGUUCGCCGAAGUGCAAGACAGAAUGGUCCCGUGCCUCUAAUGCGUCGACGCCUCUAGGGGCGUCUUCCUCAUUGACGUUUGACCUCAAAUC